GUCCCAGACUCCUACGGGAGGCAGCAGUGAGGAAUAUUGGUCAAUGGGCUUACGCCUGAACCAGCCAAGUCGCGUGAGGGAAGACUGCCCUAUGGGUUGUAAACCUCUUUUGUCAGGGAGCAAUUGGCGCUACGUGUAGCGUUAUCGAGAGUACCUGAAGAAAAAGCAUCGGCUAACUCCGUGCCAGCAGCCGCGGUAAUACGGGGGAUGCGAGCGUUAUCCGGAUUCACUGGGUGUAAAGGGAGCGUAGACGGCGACGCAAGUCUGGAGUGAAAGCCCGGGGCCCAACCCCGGGACUGCUCUGGAAACUGCGGCGCUGGAGUACGGGAGGGGCAGGCGGAAUUCCUGGUGUAGCGGUGAAAUGCGUAGAUAUCAGGAGGAACACCGGCGGCGAAGGCGGCCUGCUGGACCGUGACUGACGUUGAGGCUCGAGAGCGUGGGGAGCAAACAGGAUUAGAUACCCGCGUA
rnacentral:rRNA from 1 species